CUGCUUGAUCACCCCUUCCUCGUGGGCAGCUGGCUCACACACCGAGCCCGACUCAUGCUCCAGGCUGUGUCCCCUCAGCCCCGGGGAGGGCAGGAUGUGAGGACGCCGCAGCGCCCUGCAGGAGCCGGCCCAGCUCCCACCCACCGAGCAGUGACAGCGCCCUUCACCCCGGAUGCCCCAGGCCAGGUGGAGGGGCGAGCAGAAGGCGGCCAAGCAGGGGUCCGAAGUGCCCGGCACCCCAGCACCCGCACCCCGCGUCGGUUAUUUGCCUCUCUUCGUUAUCUUUUCACAAGCUUACCUCGUUUCUGUUUCCCCGGACAAGAGCAGGUUCCCGGGCAUCCUGAAGGGUGGGAAUGCCCUUCUCACCCGCGUGCCCAGCCCACCCCACGGGCUGCGCGCUCGGCUCGGCAGGCUGCCAGCUUCCGCCCGCUGGAAUAGUAGUGAUGCCUUUAGGGUCCUGCUGCGAACCUCUCCCGGCACCCACGGCCUGUGGGGGGCACAGAGCGGGAAACACGCGGUGCCCCGGCGAGUCUCAGGCAUCCGGCAGUCCCUGCACGCACCUCCCGCAGGUGACGGCCCCAGCUCCUGGGCUCCCUUUCCCAUGGGCGACAGCCACACUGCCUCCCCCAGCCCCGAGGGUCCCCUCAGAGGAACUGGCCUCAGUUCCUGGGCUCCAGGUUCCCCAUCUGGAAGUGACAGGCUGGAGACAAAAUACUGCACGCCCACCCACGCGGUCCCCUUUGCCCUAAGGGCACUUAAUUAAAAAGAGGUACAUACAGGACAAUGUCUUUUUGAGAGGAGAGCACAAGAGACACAGGGACAAGGCACAUGAGGGGCCCGCAGAGGCGGAGGGACAGAGAGCCUGAAGCGGGCUCCAGGUCCGGCUCCUCCUCAUAGCCUGCGCCUGGGGCCUGAGAGCAAUCCAGAGUCGGCCGUGAGGGGGUGGGCCUGCAGUUGCGGACCUGAGGGUGCGACAUGUGCCACCGUGGUCGCCACCGGCUUUAAGGAAAACCCAGUUUCUAUCAGAUCUCUUUAAAAAUUAAGUGAGGGACACCUGGGGGGCUCAGCGGUUGAGCACCCGCCUCUGGUCCAGGGCAUGACCCCGGGGUCCCAGGAUCGAGUCCCCCACGGGGAGCCUGCUUCUCCCUCUGCCUGGGUCUCUGCCUUUCUGUGUGUGUCUCUCAUGAAUAAAUACAUAAAAUCUUUUUAAAAAAUUAAAAUUAAAAGCGACUCCGAUCUGUAUUUCCCAAGGGAACAACACAGACAAAUGGCCACGCA
rnacentral:lncRNA from 1 species